GACGAACGCUGGCGGCGUGCCUAAUACAUGCAAGUUGAGCGCUGAAGGUUGGUACUUGUACCAACUGGAUGAGCAGCGAACGGGUGAGUAACGCGUGGGGAAUCUGCCUUUGAGCGGGGGACAACAUUUGGAAACGAAUGCUAAUACCGCAUAAAAACUUUAAACACAAGUUUUAAGUUUGAAAGAUGCAAUUGCAUCACUCAAAGAUGAUCCCGCGUUGUAUUAGCUAGUUGGUGAGGUAAAGGCUCACCAAGGCGAUGAUACAUAGCCGACCUGAGAGGGUGAUCGGCGACAUUGGGGCUGAGACACGGCCCAAACUGCUACGGGAGGCAGCAGUAGGGAAUCUUCGGCAAUGGACGAAAGUCUGACCGAGCAACGCCGCGUGAGUGAAGAAGGUUUUCGGAUCGUAGAACUCUGUUGGUAGAGAAGAACGUUGGUGAGAGUGGAAAGAUCAUCAAGUGACGGUAACUACCCAGAAAGGGACGGCUAACUACGUG
rnacentral:rRNA from 1 species